ACAGCAGCCGCCACGGGAAUACGGAGGGUGCAAGCGUUAAUCGGAAUUACUGGGCGUAAAGCGCACGCAGGCGGUCUGACAAGUCAGAUGUGAAAUCCCCGGGCUUAACCUGGGAACUGCAUUUGAAACUGUCAGGCUGGAGUCUUGUAGAGGGGGGUAGAAUUCCAGGUGUAGCGGUGAAAUGCGUAGAGAUCUGGAGGAAUACCGGUGGCGAAGGCGGCCCCCUGGACAAAGACUGACGCUCAGGUGCGAAAGCGUGGGGAGCAAACAGGAUUAGAUACCCGGGUAGUCCCUGUCUCUUAUAC
rnacentral:rRNA from 1 species